rnacentral:rRNA from 1 species
GACGAACGCUGGCGGCGUGCUUAACACAUGCAAGUCGAACGGAGAUUAUUAAUGAAGCUUGCGAUUUAAUAAUCUUAGUGGCGGACGGGUGAGUAACGCGUGGGCAACCUACCCAUAAGCGGGGGAUAACAGUUGGAAACGACUGCUAAUACCGCAUAAGCUAUUGAGGUCGCAUGACCUAAAUAGUAAAGGUGGCGAAAGCUAUCACUUAUGGAUGGGCCCGCGUCUGAUUAGCUAGUUGGUGGGAUAGCAGCCUACCAAGGCAACGAUCAGUAGCCGGCCUGAGAGGGUGGACGGCCACACUGGGACUGAGACACGGCCCAGACUCCUACGGGAGGCAGCAGUGGGGAAUAUUGGGCAAUGGGGGAGACCCUGACCCAGCGACGCCGCGUGAGGGAAGACGGCCUUCGGGUUGUAAACCUCUUUGUACGGGAAGAUAAUGACGGUACUGUACGAAUAAGUCCCGGCUAACUACGUGCCAGCAGCCGCGGUAAUCUCGUCCUA